rnacentral:misc_RNA from 1 species
UUGGUGUAUAACUAGGAAAACGUUUCAUAAACGUGGCAAAGAUUUAGCUGAGACUAUUAAACUACUUGUAAAACAGUUUCGGUUAUUAGAAUACAGUAUAUAAAAAUAUUAGCAACUGAGGAUUUCAGCCUUAUUAUGCUAAAUAAUUUACGUUGUUUACAUUAUUAUAGUCUUGUGGUAGACUUGUAAGUUGUAUACUUUUAAAAUUAAAUUAAAUUUGUAAGCCUAAACUAACUUAAAACUUAAGUUUGAUUUCAUUUUAAAUCCCCAGAAUCGGGCCUACUCAUGUUUUGGUAAGGAGACUGAAUGAUGUGUUGCCAGUUUGCGGUCCAACAGAAAUCAAAUUAAAAUUGGCUUCUGCUUGGAAUCGUGAUUAAACUUAAAGAACUUUAAGUUUAGGUUACGUGAAGUUAAUCUACAAAUUACUUAAGUAAUUAAAGAGACGUACAAUAAUUCCACUGUUCCAGGAAGCGUAGAUUCAUCUUCUUGGCUUGAAAAUGUUUAUGAAUAUUGACAGAGGGUUUACUUUUUCAAAUAUUUUCACAAUAAUAUUGGUAUUAAUCAUGGUACAAGCCAUACAUGGUUUUAUGGAGCUAGAAGGACUGUACUGUGGUAAAGAAAACUGCUAUGAUGUUCUUGGUGUUCCUCGAGAAUCAUCUAAAAGUGACAUUGCACGUGCUUACAGACGUUUGGCAAGAAAAUAUCAUCCAGAUAUGCAUAGGUCCACAGAAGCUAAAAAAAAAGCUGAAGAACGGUUUACUCAGUUGGCAACGGCUUACGAAAUCUUAAGAGAUGAAGAAUCUAGAGCAGAUUAUGACUACAUGCUGGAUAAUCCUGAUGAAGUAUACAGACAUUAUUAUCGUUAUUACAGGAGAAGAGUUGCACCAAAAGUAGAUGUAAGAAUUGUCUUGGCAGUAACAAUAACGGUCAUUUCAGUUGUUCAGUACUGGGGUGCAUGGUCUCGUUAUAAAGCUGCUGUUGAUUAUUUAGUGACAGUUCCAAAAUAUAGGUUAAAGGCAGUUGACAUAGCAAAACAAGAAGGCUUACUUAACUCUUCUAAAAAGAAAGACCGUCGUCCAAAAGAGGUGAUAAAAGAAGAAGAAGAAGCAAUUUUGAAGAAAGUUCUUGAAGAAAAGGUCGAUAUUAAAGGAGGAUAUUCAAAACCUUCAAUCAAAGAUAUUUUAUGGAUUCAACUCAUUUUACUACCAUAUACCAUUGGAGCUUACAUAGUGUGGUACUUUAAAUGGGUAUGGAAAUUCAACAUUUGUAAGGAAGAGUUUGGAGAAGAGGAAAAAUUUUACCUUAUACGAAAGAAAUUAAAAUGCAAUGAAUCUCAAUGGAAUUCAAUAGAAGAAGAAGAGAAAUUGUUUUAUUUGAAGAAAGAACUAUGGAAAGAGGAAAAUUUUAAAGUUUGGAAAAAACAAAAAGAAGAUGAAAUGAAAGCUAAACUUGCAGAAAAUGCGAAGUACAAAAGUUACCGCAGGUAUAUGAGGAACCAUGGACCAGGCCAAAUAACUUUUGAAGAUUAAAAACUACUUUCGAUGUCUGUACUUAGGUAUUUUAUUAUGUUUAUCACAUUUGUGACUUAAAGUACACAAAACUGUUUCUUGUGUGGUAAAAUUUUUAUUGUUUGUAAUGAAGACAACCAGUUGAGGAUGAGUAAAAAACAAACAAAAAAAAACAUUCAUUGGUUGGAAUAAUUUAAGUUUUGUUUUUAUGAAAACCAAAAUGUUCUCAUCCUUUUUAAAAGGGUUAUUAGAAAAUCUAAGAUUUGUUUUGGAAUUAUAUGCUGCAUAAAAAAAAACUAAAUUAUAAAAAUAAUUGUCUUGUGUGUUGCUUUACAAUCAACAUAUUCUUAAAAUGAACUGGACACCGUUGCAGAAGUAAAGCUGUAUUUAACUUGUAUGCUGUGGUUUAUAUGACUAAUUAAUGGUUUGUAGCAGCUGCACAAAGAAGCCAAAUCAAAGUAUUUUUAUGUGCAUACUAUCUACAAAAUUUAUUUGCCAAAGCUAUGUGUAUUACUAGUAGUAAGCAUAGUUUUUGAGUUGUCAAAUAAAUUUUGCAUUUUGGAAACUUGUGUUUUUCUGUAUGUGAGGCCAGUUGUGAAUACCAGUUAGAAAGAGGAAUCAUAUUAUGCAAACACUCAAGUAUUGUUCUUUAUGUAAUUAAAAUGUAAUUAACAAUUUUUAAGAUUUAGUGAGUAACGAAAAACUUUGUCUAUUGUGCAUAUGAACAGACAUUGAGUGGUUUUCAUGUAUACCCUGGUUAAAGUAUCCUAUGAGAAAGUAUCUUGUAUGCUAACUAGAUCAAAUUUACUUAUUCACCCUCUUCUGAAUAAGGCUUCAGGCAGACAACCUUGUAGGUGCCUACUUGACUGCAUAAUGUAGCUAUUGAUAACUAUUUCUGUGAAUUUCACUUGUAUUUACAGAUUACAUGUGCAUAUGAAUUAAGCUAGGUAUCCUACUGUUAUGUACAUCACAUAAACCACUUUAUACAUAUUGGUUAUUUUUUAUUUCUACAUACAGUAAUUUCUGAAUUACAUAAACAUGUAUCUAAUAUGAACUCCCGGUCUAACAGUACAGAUGUACAUACAUAAUAUGCAUUUCCUCUGUGAGAAUGCAAAUGUUUAUAUGUAGUACUAAUUCCCACUGUAAGAGAGCAAAUGUUCUUACAUAGUAUGAAUUUUUACUAUAAAUUGGGUACCAGUUUUUUCUUGUGGUAAUCUCAGCUUUCCAUCUCUUAGACUCGGGAGUGAACCCAAAACCUUUCGCACACUAGAUCUGUGGAGUUCAGUAUCAAAGGCAUCACUCAAUCUUCAAGGGCAAAAGAGGCUAGCAGGUGAUAUGCUCUCUCUAUUCAUGCUUCUUCCACUACAAAGUUGUGUUAAUUGUAGUUUACGACAAGAUCCAACAGAUUGAUUUGAUUGUGAAAGUACUACAAGAGAAAAGGGAGCAGCUGAAUUUAUGCCAACACAAGCUGAGAGUGACAGGAAGAGAUCCAGCUGCAAUUGAAAUCAGUCAUGGUUUUCUCAUCCAUUGAUAGGCCAUGAAGACAACUAAGAUGGAGAUUGAUGCCAUAACCAUUCAACAGAUGAUGUCCAUCAUUAGAAGAAGGUACAACAAAUACUAUCAUAAAGGUCAUAUUGGAUAAUAAUGACGUGUUUCUACUUCCAAUUUAUUUCUGCCAACAGUAGCAACUGACAUGCCCCAUAAUAAUGGUGUUAAUCUUAACUCUUUUAAGCUCGGAAUUUUAUGCUUGUUCUGUCAGAAGCAUUUUCAUGAUUUCCUAAUAAUUAUCACCAUAUCUUAUAGAGUUUCAAUUUUAUUAAUUUUGUGAAUAACAACAUAGUUUGGAUUAGUUUUCAGCCAAAGAGACAUAAGUAUUAUUGGACACUGUCACCAUUCGAUGGGUAAAUUGGUAUUUUUGGCUGGAUGCUGCUUGGGUUUAAGGAGUUAAGAGACCACACAUGUUGACAUACAGGAAAUUGCGUUUAUACACAAAAAUAUUUUCCCCAACUGAUAGCAUCUUACACAAAUCUGGAUGCUACACAUUGCUCUAUUUUGGGAAACAGGUAAAACCAAAGUAGUGAAACUGCUGCAGAUGGAACUACAAAUCUAUAAUUAAAUCUUCCAAAAGGACCACCAAGUGAAUUUGACCAAUUAAAGUUAUGUUUCUAAGUAGCAUGAUACUGAAGUAUUUUUCACCCCCUGACUGUGAUCAGGUAAAACAUUUUACAUCCAAGGAACACCGCAGUUCAAGAGUAUCCCAUUGAGAGCUAAAUGGAAUACGUGAGAUUUAGGAUCGUAAUUUGUAUAGAAAUUAUAAUCUUAUAAGAGUGUCAUGUAGGAUUCUUUAAUGAUAUAAAACUGUGUUGUUAAAAUAGAUGUUUAACAAAAUUAACUUUUUAUAAUUACAUUAAUCUGUUUGUAUGGUACUGUGCAAAAAGGGAGAAUUAGUCACUAAACUAUCUAGCUGUUCAAAGUAAAUUCUAUAAAAUCAAAUUAUGCUACCAUGAAGUGUGCAUACCACAUAUUGUGUAUGUGAGCGCAUAAAUAAAGUUUAUAUACGUAUUGCA